CUGCGGCAGAGCGCGUUCCCCGACCGUAUGCGGAGGGCUCCGAGCCGGACCCCGUCCUAUGGCUCCUCGGGGCGCAUGGUGGGGCCCGGCGCCCCUACCGGCACAGGCACGGGCGGGGACGGCGGACAGACGGAGAUGUCACAUCCCGGCCCGAACCUGACGGGAAGAGGGUAUCGGCUCCAAUCACAUCUGGGUACCGUCUGGGGCAUACUGUGUGUGUUUGGCUGCUGAGGAAUAUCAACAAAUACGAAUUAUCAGCAGCGUGGCCAGAGUCUGCAGGGGAGAAAUAACGAACAGGGAAGGUUUGCAUGGCUUUGCAUUCUGCAAUGAAAAUGAUCUCAUUAUCCUUUCCGGAGACUCAGACAGCUACUUGAAAAAUACUUAGGAAAAAAACACAGCAGCUCUGGGGAGAGAGCCCUUCCCAAGCAGGGAGGGAAAACAGAGCAGAAGGAAACAGCGUCAGUGGCAGACAUAGGUGGGAGGCUGCCCUGCUGCAUGCCCAGCACCUGCUGGGAGUCAUCACCAAUGUGGGAGCAGGCAGAAGCACUGAGAGGCAUAGGAGUGGUGAGAGGAGGUGCGGGUCAGCCCCAGCCCUGCACAGCUGGAGGUGUUCACCAGCCCAGCCCAGAGCUCCCUGGCAGCACUCAUGUCCCGGCAGUGCCUCUCUGAGCUGUAUGCUAUCACAGCAACCACCUCCACCACUGUUACUGCAUUGUGCUUCCAUCUGCCUGUAGGCAGAGAACACACAUAGCCGCACAGGAGCUGCCACGUGUUUCUGUAAGAACUGUGUGCUGGAAAUAAGCAGAAUGCAGAAAUACUGCAGGAAGAGAAAGGAGCAAAGAAAACGCAGCACUGCUUAAGUCUGGACACAGAAUGUGAUGCUUAGGUUCUCCCUUCAGCUGUAAACCACAGGGAGAGGGAUGAUGCUCCCUCAGGGAGCUACUUCAGUGUCAGCUUUGGGGAUUUCCUCCUGCAUCAGCAGCAAUAGCAACGAAGCAAAAGAUAAGGGGAAAAGGUAACUGAGGGGAGACAGAAACUGGAGGGGGACUGCAUAAGUUGGAAAGACUCCUGCGGUGGGGACCAGAGGGAGAACCUCAAACAUAAAAGGGGGGAGGCAGGUGCAGGACUGUAAAAAGAGCCAUUGAGGGAUCCUUGUGCCUUUCUUUAUGGUUAAGCUUCACUCUGACCCUGUAGCAAAAAUGCUGAGUCAUGGCCUUGAUUGAGCACCUGGUGGGAAGGCAGGGCCAGCCCAGGGGAGCUCAGGUGCAUGCAGUGUACCUGAGUGAUGGAAGGGGUGGAGCCAGGAUCCUCCCCUGCCCAGACCUCAUUUAAGGGUUGGCAGUGGAGGUGAGGGUAUGUUUCUCCUGGUCCCUCCCUACCUGUAUUCUUCCAGAGGUAAGCAAACUGUCUUCCUUUGUGCGUGUGGCUGCUGCAUUUGGGCUUACCCUCACUUGCAGCAGUCUAGGAUUGUGCCGCUCUGAUGUUCCUCUAUACCCCACCUAGUGCAGCUGGUGAGGUCUUUGUAUCAACUCACAAAGAAAGGCCAAAAAUGGGACUGGGGGAGAAUGGAACAAGAGGCAUUCCAACAAGUGAAACUAAAUGUUAAACAGGCCCAGGCUCUGGGUACAUUUGAUCCUCUCCCCCUCCCCGCCCCUUCCAGCUGACCUAGCGGUCCAUGUAACUCAGGAUAGGUUUGGCUGGGGUCUAUGGCAGCGCCAAAAUUCUGUUUGAUCCUCAGUUUGGUUCUGGUCUCAGGUUUGGUGUGGAACAGAAGAGAGGUACUGUAUGAUUGAAAAACAGUUACUGGCUGCCUACUCUGCAUUACAGGCUGUAGAGCCAAUAACCCAAACAUCUGGGGCUUAGACUUUGGGUUCGGCUGUGGUUAGACAUAUGGGAUGUGGUUAAACACAGGACUGUACAUGUCUACCACAUUUCUGGUCACCAACCCCUACAGUCACUGGGAAAUGACGAAGCUGACACACUGGCCCGUUUGAUGGAUCGAGAAUUCACCAUCUGAGAACAUCGCCUGCUGGUUACAUCAGAAGCUGCGGCAUGCUGGACAAAAGACAGUGUGGGCAGCUGCUAAAGUAUGGGGUCUGCCCAUACAGCUAUCUGACAUCGCCCAGGCAUGCUGAGAAUGCGAUGCUUGCUUCAGGAGGAGACCAAGACGGUUGCCCGAAACAACAGCCCGUUUUGCUAGAGGACACAGUCCUCUCCAGCGAGGGCAGGUUGAUUACGUUGGGUCCCUUCCUCAGUCUGAGGGGGUGAGACAUGCCCUGACCUGUGUCAGUACUGCAAGUGGGCUCCUGUAGGCCUGUCCAGUACCAAAAGCAAACCAGGCAUAUACCAUCAAGGUACUUACCAAACUGAUGGCUGCCUACGGGACACCUGAAGUCAUCGAGAGCGACCAUGGGACUCGUUGCACUGGCACAAUGGUAAAAUGCUGCACAGAAGAAAACAACAUUGAGUGGCAAUUCCACCCGCCAUAUAAUGUGACGGGGGCAGGCCUUAUUGAAUGUUAUAACAGUAUUCGUAAGGCUGCCCUGAGGACAGACUCUCAGUCCCUGCAGGGGUGGACAAAGAGAAACCCUACAGGACCUGAAUGAAGGGCCUAAUGAUGGCAGACCCAGUGCCCUGAAGAUGCUACAGACAAUGUGGGUGUCCUUGCUUAGGACCCAAAUUAUGAGCACUGAUAAUGGUUAAGACCCCAGACUGAAUAAAAUAAUCUUCUGCUCCCUGCCUCUGAAGACCUAGAACCUGUUACCCCUAAAAUAGAAUGGCACAAAAGAAGGGCUACAAGAACAUGCCAUGAUUGUGUUCACCAACAGUGAUUUUUAACUGCAGCAUUUAUCUGCGUUCACUGUUGGGUGUGCUUGUGCUGAAUGGUGAAAGGUGGGUAAGAGCCACCAGGCUGAGGUCUGCAGGGAUGAAUCAGCCUCUCAGCACAGUGCAUCAUCUGAAGCACACAGAGCAGCCUUUGGGCCACAUGGAGCUGUGAGCUGCCGUGUGGCCUGUACAACAUCAGCAUUGGUACCUUCCAGAGGAAGGGAAGGUGCAUCUCAGAAGGAAUCCCUGCAGUAAGAGUGAAAGGGUGACCACAGCAGGCGCAGGUGGAGCUGUUUUAGGAAGCUCACUGCCCAAACACAGGGAUGAUGUGGGCAGCUCCCAUCUGUCCUGCCUGACCUGCACCUGAGCUUCGCUUCAGCAAAGAGAAGGCUCCUUUGCUCCCCUGCAGUGCUGUGCGGCCUCCAGGGUAGGGUGGUGGGUACUAGAGAGCAGACAUGCCUGGCAGGGGACAGGGCUGCAGCAUCAUGAGACUGAUCUUAAUUCAUAAUGUCUUGUUUUUCAGAUGUUUAGCAGCUGUCCUUGAUUUUGUAGACAUGAGACGCAGCCAGGUGGUCUUAACCCUGCAAAAGUUCUGGGACAUUUGCACUUUCUUUCUUGCGAGGUUUUGCUUGCAGCUCCAGGUGCUGUAACUGUUCCCUCUUCAGGACUGAGUGCUUGGGGCUAAACGAGAUAAAACCAGAUAGUGACUGACAGGGACAGUUCUAUGGAAAUGUUUGCUCAAUGCCCAGGAGCAGUCCAAAAGGCAAACUGACUGUUAAGAAUUAUUAGGAAAAUAAGAGAGAACAGAUCAGAGAUAUGCCACUGAACAGAGCCAUAGUGGAGACUGCAUUGUGAUUACCAUAUGGAACUCUGGUUGGCUUCUCUCAAGAAAAAUAGAGUUGGAAGGGUUUCAGAGAAGAGCAACAAGGCAAAUCAAAUACAAAGAAUAUCUUCCAUAUGAGGAAAAGUAGAAAGCCUCUUUAGCCCAGAGAAGAGAUGGCUGAAGAAAAGUGUGACAGGAUUAUGAAAUCAAGUUUGGCAGACAGAGUUUGACUUCAGUGUGGUUUCUCAUUGUCCCUUUGAUAUAAGAACCAUCAGUGCCCCAUAAAUUAGGAGGUAGUGACUACAAAACAAAAAGCAGUUGUUUUUUUUUUAAUAUGCACUAUGCAGUGUCAAACUGCUUAACAGAGGAUACAGUGGGUCAUUGAGGUUUAUGUGCAUUCAAAAAGAAGUUAAAUAUCAUUGUGGGAGAAAAAGAAAUCCACCCACACUGGUUAAAUAGAAGACCCUAUUUUUGCUUCCAAGGCCUCUGAGCUUCAUAUCAUCAAGUAUUCUGGGUGGUACUGCUACUGCAGUAGCUAUGCCCCCUUCUUGCACUGCCCACAAUAAUAGCUCUUGACCACUAUCAGAGAUAAGAUGGUGGGCAAUACAUACUUGGAGCUAAUUGCGAACAGUUGUUCUUGCUUUUCUUCAGUGCUCCAGGAUCACGUGCAACGACUGAUCCUGACACAUCCUGCCCUGUAUCCAAAAAGUCAGCAUUAAAGAGUUGCAGUGGUGUACUGCUGACCCCACGUCUGCACUGCCACAUCAGGAUUCAGGUCACCUGCAUUGAUAGUCCUCUUUCAAAUGAUACUCUCAGCAGUGGCAGAGCUGUCUGCGGUGAUAACAGCUUGUCUGGGGAACAUAAAGCAGGAGACACUGUGCUGGACUGCAGGCGCUUCCUGGAGGGAAGGCAGGGACCCAGAGGCACCAUGUUUUGUCACAGCCAAUGGGGUUGUGUGGCACACACUGCACUGAGCGAGGACCAUCAGAGCCAGCACACUCCUGAGUUCUGCCCGCUGGAGCAGCUCAGAGCAAGGCAGGAUGCUUAAGCAAGGGUGAGGAGGGCUGCAGUGGCUCUCCACAGCCAUUCCUGCUCCUGGGCUGGUGGCUUAAAUGGGCUGUUAUGUCAAGUUCUGCUCUGACAGCAGCAUUUGUCUGACACUAGCAACUAUAUGGUUUUUUGCAGCAGCAAAUGGGGGUCUGUCAGGAGCUGGUAUAAGAACCUACAACAAGCUGUGGAGAGCAAGAUAGAAUGCAAGGCAUUCCUAGUGGGCGCAAAACUGCUCAGUUGUUUCUGCAGCACACAGAAGCAGGCUCUGUCUGAUUUCUGUCACAUUUCCCAUCUUCACAUGGAAUUUGUCUGGGCAGCUGCUGUUCCCACAAGGGGAGUUCAAAUGAAUGACUGCUUUUCAUAUUACAUAAUGCAAUUCCAAAUACUCCAGUGCAGAUGUACUAUCCCUAUUCCAAGAAUAAAUUACCAAGUUGCUCUGUCUCAUUCUGGAGCAAUCCACCAGAGGCGAAACUGAAAACAAGAUUUUUUUGUAGUUGUACCGAAGCUUUGCAGUCAAUUUUAAGCCUCUUAGACAGCAUAAUAUUGAAUGCAAGAUCCUGCUGAGGGCUAUCGACUGCAGUAUGUGCCAAGCGGCGGGGAACACCCUGUGCCAUGCCUGCAUGUGUUGGAGACUUCCCUCUGCCAGCAGCGUGACUUAGAUCAGAGAGCAGCUUCCUGGGAUUUCCCAUCAGCAUCCUUUAAGAUUGCCAUCCAGCAGAAGGGAUCUGUGCAGCCACAAGGUGAAAGGCAACAGGAAACACAUCAUCUUCAAAACACAUGGCAGGAUUAGCACAGUCUGAACACAGCACCAUGCUGUCUUCUGCUCUGGUGUAGAGACAUGCUGCCUGCUGGGACCAUGGGGAUGGAGCAGGCUAGCCCUUCAGAUGUCACUGUCCCAGGUGAGGUGUGCUUGUAAAUAAACCCGGUGUAAAUGUAAGUGCACGUUCUUGUAGCUUCAUUCACAACAUGCCUUCUCACAUAGCACCUGCUCUGAUGCUGCCAUGGUGCUUCAGGACAUCUGCCUGGUAGAAUGGCAGGAUAUACCUUAACUAUUUGUAAUUAAAGAAAAGUAGUGGUGUUUUUGUACUCCAGGACCACAACAAGCCAUGAGUUAUUCACAGCCCCUGUGUGUUAGGGCAGCAGGCAGCAUUUGGUGCUGCAGCCAUGUUUUAGCAACAUGCCUGAUGUCCUGUGCAUGCCCUGCAAUGUCUGAAUAAAAAGCAUAAUUUCUGUCCCCAGCCUGACCUGUGCUUUUGUUCCAUCUCCUACCUGCUGUCUUCCACAACUGCUCCAUUGUGUCAGAGUUCUGGAAAACCUCCCAGUGUAUGAAUGGAUGUGCACACCAUAGGUCUUAAAGCAUCCAGAUGUCCAGAUGUAAAGCAACCCCUUCCAUUAGUACAGCUCUUUCUUACAGUUUAACCAGCUGCCAACACAAGGCAUACAAGUCUGAGAGCCCAAGCCGAUUUGCCCUGGCCGCAUGCAGAAGAGCUGAUCAGCUGGCAGUACAGUCAAGUGAGCUUUUGGUGUUGCUCCUUUUGUCAACUUGAGCAGUACCUCUGUUUCACCAUGCACUUCCUACUCUGCUGCACACCAUUUUCUGCAGGGGUCUUGCACUCACAAAUCCUCCAACUCCUUUGCAUGCAGUGAUUUCCUGACACAUUUUUCUAUCUUCUGCUGAAAUAAAGAAAAGGUCAAUACCGAGCUUCAAUGAACGUUCAUCCAGCAUUUUGUGUUCCUUCUUCUGCUAGAUCAUCCAGUUUAAUGCAGAGCCUGGUGAUCAGUCAAAUAUCAUAUCAGGAGCAUGAUUUUAACAAGGGAAGCUCUGCCCAGGCCUCUUGAACAUGGUAACCUCAGACUCAGCAAGUGGAAAGUAAGGGGAGUGUCUCUGCUCUAGCUUGGAAAUGCUCCCUUAUUUCCAGUUUGUUAGUGCAAUAUCAGAAUUAUAGACUACAACACUCCCUAUUUCUUUCUUUCACUCUGAUUUAAAGACCAUCUACUGAAAACUCUCACUUCAAAAAACAGCCAGGAACUUUCUAAUAUCAAGCAAAAUGCCCAAAGAAUAAAUUGCUUCUAUCAGAAAUAAAGCAUUUUAGUUCUGCCACAAGCAGGGAGGUCUCUCCAAAGGCAGCUCCACAGCUCCAUCUUUCCUGCUUUCCUCUCAUUUUCUUUUGAUGCACAAAGCCUGCAUACUGCAGUGCUGUGAUUGGAUUCAGCUUUGGAGCAGUGUAAUUGUAAAUAUUCAUUGGAAUCCAGGCUAGUUUUCCCAAGUCUCUCUUAAAGACUCUGCAGCUAUACAAACAGCCGUGGCUCUGCAUUAACCUCACAGCCUGGAGGCUGCCCAUUUCUCCACAGCACCAAAGACUGCUCCUUCAGAAACUACAUGGAGAGAAAUCAGCCUUGCAGACCAUUUCAGUUGGUGCUCCAUCAUUUCCUUUAUUCUCUCUAGCAUCUGUGUUGUGGAGCUGGCUCUCAGGUCCAGGUGCCUGUGGGGUUCCGCCUCAGUGUCUGCAUACAUUACACAUUUCAUCUUCCCAUGUCACUUGCAGUUCCCUGUUCUGGCUGUGCUUCUAGCCCCCAUAAAAGCUAUUGGCAGUGCUGGGGUGUCUGUGGGAGCUGCUGUGUGACCUGGUAUAUGAUAUGUGUGUGGUGAUUCCACCCUCCCACUGAGACCUAUGAUCCAAAUGGCUGCUGCCCCACAGACAGGUGUAAGGCUCUGUGAGUGAGCAACAUCUUAUUAAGAAAACUGCACCGCUUUUGGUUACUGAGACCUCAUAUGUCAACUGUUGAUAGUCAGGCAAUUCUGCUCCUCCAGCACCAUGACUGCGCUCAAACACUAGGCAGGCAAAGAGCAGUAGACUCCUACAGGCAUCAGGGAGCAGAGGUGAGACCUUUCCAUGGGUCUGACCAACACCUUCACAUUGCCUGGACCACCACUGUGCAACAGAACUAAGUGGCAUCAAGCUGAUCUUGUUUCUAGGUGGUCUUUGAUAGCUAUUGUGCAACUCAUUUGCAAAGCAGCACAUAUAGGAAACUGCAUACAGCUAAGAAUGGAAAUUAAAUCCACCAGUUCUGAUAGCAAAUCUACACUCCCAUCUCUGCCUCAUCUACUCGUAUGUUUACUACCAAGGGUGGAACUUCAAUGCUCAAGCCAAAGCCUGAGGCACAGCAGCACAUGUCAUACAGAUGUAUGUAUCAGAGCCUUUGUCACCCAUCAACAACCUCCAGGCUUUGCUUGCUCUCUUCAGUAUAUGAGAAGGCACAUGCUCUGACUACUGGGUAACCUAUGGCCAGAUAAGUAGGUAGUAAAAGGUGAAAAUCCAGCUUUCUUUCCACAUGCAAGUUCCUGAGAGCAACUCAAGGAACAAGGCACCCACCAGCUCCAGCUAAAGCACCACAGAUUGCUAGAUGUAUUGCUAAAGAGCAGUUCAGAGACUGUCAGCUGUGCAGUUCUGUUGAGCAGCACAAUUGCCUGAUCCUUGCCCAGUUCAGUUAAGGCCCUGGCACCAGGUCUCAAGCCCACUGCACUGUGGCCCCUGCUCACCCUAUGAAACAUAUCUCUACCCAAGACCAUCCCAGGUGUGGCCUGUUUUGGAACACAGGAAGGAGCACCAAGUCAUCAUCCCAGUAUACGUAGGUGAGUGCUAGGGCUCCUGGACGAGGGAUCGGGCAGCUCUGUCUGCCCUUCCAGAGAGCCAGGAGAGGACAGACUGUGCAUUGAGUCCUCCAACCCACAGCAUCAGUACAAAGAGAACCCCGAGUUCCCCGA
ensembl:lncRNA